CCUACGGGUGGCAGCAGUGGGGAAUAUUGGGCAAUGGGCGAAAGCCUGACCCAGCAACGCCGCGUGAAGGAAGAAGGCUUUCGGGUUGUAAACUUCUUUUGACAGGGAAGAGCAGAAGAAGGUACCUGUCGAAUAAGCCACGGCUAACUACGUGCCAGCAGCCGAGGUAAUACGUAGGUGGCAAGCGUUGUCCGGGUUUACUGGGUGUAAAGGGCGUGUAGCCGGGCUGACAAGUCAGAUGUGAAAUCAGGGGGCUCAACCCCCGAACUGCAUUUGAAACUGUUGGUCUUGAGUAUCGGAGAGGCAGGCGGAAUUCCUGGUGUAGCGGUGAAAUGCGUAGAUAUCGGGAGGAACACUGGCGGCGAAGGCGGCUUACUGGACUGUAACUGACGUUGAGGCUCGAAGGCGUGGGGAGCGAACAGGAUUAGAUACCCCAGUAGUC
rnacentral:rRNA from 1 species